rnacentral:rRNA from 1 species
GAACCGACGGGAGCUUGCUCCCUUAGGUUAGCGGCGGACGGGUGAGUAACACGUGGGUAACCUGCCUGUAAGACUGGGAUAACUCCGGGAAACCGGGGCUAAUACCGGAUGCUUGAUUGAACCGCAUGGUUCAAUUAUAAAAGGUGGCUUUUAGCUACCACUUACAGAUGGACCCGCGGCGCAUUAGCUAGUUGGUGAGGUAACGGCUCACCAAGGCGACGAUGCGUAGCCGACCUGAGAGGGUGAUCGGCCACACUGGGACUGAGACACGGCCCAGACUCCUACGGGAGGCAGCAGUAGGGAAUCUUCCGCAAUGGACGAAAGUCUGACGGAGCAACGCCGCGUGAGUGAUGAAGGUUUUCGGAUCGUAAAACUCUGUUGUUAGGGAAGAACAAGUACCGUUCGAACAGGGCGGUGCCUUGACGGUACCUAACCAGAAAGCCACGGCUAACUACGUGCCAGCAGCCGCGGUAAUACGUAGGUGGCAAGCGUUGUCCGGAAUUAUUGGGCGUAAAGCGCGCGCAGGCGGUUUCUUAAGUCUGAUGUGAAAGCCCCCGGCUCAACCGGGGAG